CCUCCAGGUCCUCGGGGUUGCCGGCCAGCGCGGCGUGCGCGGCCGCGGCGGCGGAGGCCAGGGACUCCGCGUGGCCGAGCCGUUCGGCCUCGGCGGCC
rnacentral:tRNA from 1 species